CAUGCCUAACACAUGCAAGUCGAACGAACCCUUCGGGGUGAGUGGCGCAUGGGUGCGUACGCGUGGGAACCUGCCUUUAGGUUCGGAAUAACGGUUUCAAAUGACUGCUUUACCGGAUGAUGUCUUCGGACCAUAGAUUUAUCGCCUUUAGAUGGGCCCGCCUUGGAUUAGCUAGAUGGUGGGGUAAAAGCCUACGAAGGCGACGAUCUCGGGGUGGUCUGAGAGGAUGAUCAUCCUCACUGGGACUGAGAGGGGCCCUUACUCCUAGGGGAGGCACCGGUGGGGAAUAUUGGGCAAUGGGCGAGAGCCUGAUCCGGCUGUGCCGCGUGUUUGAUGAGGGCCUUAAGGUUGUAAACCUCUUUUACCAGGGAUGAUAAUGACAGUACCUGGAGAAUAAGCUCCGGCUAGGUCCGUGCCAUGUUCCGCGGUAAUACGGAGGGAGCUAACGUUGUUCGGAAUUACUGGGCGUAGGGCGAACGUAGGCGGCAUCCCCCGUCAGGGGUGAAAUCCCGGGGCUCAACCCCGGAACUGCCUCUGAAACUGGUAAGCUAGAAUCCUGGAGAGGCGAGUGAAAUUCCGAGAGUAGCGGUGGAAUUCGUAGAUAUUCGGAAGAACACUAGUGGCGAAGGCGACUCGCUGGACGGGUAUUGACGCUGACGUUCCAGAGCGUGGGGAGCCAACAAGAUUAAGUACCCUGGUAUUCCACGCCGUAUGCUAUGAUAACUAGCUGUCCGGGCU
rnacentral:rRNA from 1 species